CCCUGCCAUGGUAACCAGCGCUGGAGGGAAUCCAGAGAAGAGAUUUCUGAUGCCCAGGACAAAGGUACAGAGGCUGAGGUACUGAGAAGUUUAAUAAUUCCCAGUUGGAAGGGAAGAGAACUUGGACUCUAUCCAACAUCUGUUGGACUUUGCUUGAUCCUCGCACAGAAACUGCAAUCUGGGGAGAGGAAAGCCAGUGGCCCCCC